UACGUAGGGCGCAAGCGUUAUCCGGAAUUAUUGGGCGUAAAGAGCUCGUAGGCGGCUUGUUGCGUCAGCUGUGAAAACCCGCAGCUCAACUGUGGCUUGCAGCUGAUACGGGCAGGCUUGAGUUCGGUAGGGGAGACUGGAAUUCCUGGUGUAGCGGUGAAAUGCGCAGAUAUCAGGAGGAACACCGGUGGCGAAGGCCGGGUCUCUGGGCAAUUCCUGACGCUGAGGCGCGAAAGCGUGGGGAGCAAACGGG
rnacentral:rRNA from 1 species